GCGAGAAACCUUUGCAAUGUGCGCAAGCACGACAAGGUUAAUCCGAGUGUUUCCUGCUAAAGGAAUCUUUUGUUAGUUCUAAAACCACUGAUGAAUAAGGGGUGGGCAAGUUCUGGUGUCAGCCGCCGCGGUAAAACCAGCACCUCAAGUGGUCAGGAGGAUUAUUGGGCCUAAAGCAUCCGUAGCCGGUUCUGUAAGUUUCCGGUUAAAUCCACUAGCUCAACUAAUGGGCUGCCGGAAAUACUGCAGAACUAGGGAGUGGGAGAGGUAGACGGUACUCGGGAGGAAGGGGUAAAAUCCUUUGAUCUCUUGAUGACCACCUGUGGCGAAGGCGGUCUACCAGAACACGUUCGACGGUGAGGGAUGAAAGCUGGGGGAGCAAACCGGAUUAGAUACCCUAGUAGUCCCUGAGCGGGCUGGCAAGGCGCAU
rnacentral:rRNA from 1 species